rnacentral:rRNA from 1 species
CAUGCAAGUCGAGCGGUGAACCACCUUCGGGUGGGGAUCAGCGGCGAACGGGUGAGUAACACGUGGGCAACCUGCCCCUAGCACUGGGAUAACCCCGGGAAACCGGGGCUAAUACCGGAUACGACCUCGAGCGGCAUCACUCGAGGUGGAAAGAUUUAUCGGCUAGGGAUGGGCCCGCGGCCUAUCAGCUUGUUGGUGGGGUAACGGCCUACCAAGGCGACGACGGGUAGCCGGCCUGAGAGGGCGACCGGCCACACUGGGACUGAGACACGGCCCAGACUCCUACGGGAGGCAGCAGUGGGGAAUAUUGCGCAAUGGGCGAAAGCCUGACGCAGCGACGCCGCGUGAGGGACGAAGGCCUUCGGGUCGUAAACCUCUUUCAGUAGGGACGAAGCGAAAGUGACUGUACCUACAGAAGAAGCACCGGCUAACUACGUGCCAGCAGCCGCGGUAAUACAUAGGGUGUAAGCGUUGUCCGGAAUUAUUGGCGUAAAGAGCUCGUAGGUGGUUCGUUACGUCUGCUGUGGAAACUCGGGGCUCAACCCCGAGCCUGCAGUGGAUACGGGCGGACUAGAGUGCGGUAGGGGAGACUGGAAUUCCUGGUG